rnacentral:rRNA from 1 species
UAGGGAAUAUUGGUCAAUGGACGCAAGUCUGAACCAGCCAUGCCGCGUGCAGGAUGACUGUCCUAUGGAUUGUAAACUGCUUUUUUACGGGAAGAAACCUCUGGAUGCGUCCGGAGCUGACGGUACCGUGAGAAUAAGGAUCGGCUAACUUCGUGCCAGCAGCCGCGGUAAGACGAAGGAUUCAAGCGUUGUCCGGAUUUACUGGGUUUAAAGGGUGCGUAGGCGGAAAUCUAAGUCAGUGGUGAAAUCCUGCAGCUUAACUGCAGAACUGCCAUUGAAACUGGUUUUCUUGAAUACAGUGGAGGUAGAUGGAAUAUAACAUGUAGCGGUGAAAUGCUUAGAUAUGUUAUAGAACACCGAUUGCGAAGGCAGUCUGCUACACUGUCAUUGACGCUGAGGC